GGGUGCGUAGCUCAGUUGGAAAAGAGUGCCAGCCUGCGAAGCUGGAGGUCGCAAGUUCAAGCCUUGCCGCGCUUG
rnacentral:tRNA from 1 species